CCCCGGUAAACGGCGGCCGUAACUAUAACGGUCCUAAGGUAGCGAAAUUCCUUGUCGGGUAAGUUCCGACCUGCACGAAUGGCGUAAUGAUGGCCAGGCUGUCUCCACCCGAGACUCAGUGAAAUUGAACUCGCUGUGAAGAUGCAGUGUACCCGCGGCAAGACGGAAAGACCCCGUGAACCUUUACUAUAGCUUGACACUGAACAUUGAGCCUUGAUGUGUAGGAUAGGUGGGAGGCUUUGAAGUGUGGACGCCAGUCUGCAUGGAGCCGACCUUGAAAUACCACCCUUUAAUGUUUGAUGUUCUAACGUGGACCCGUAAUCCGGGUUGCGGACAGUGUCUGGUGGGUAGUUUGACUGGGGCGGUCUCCUCCUAAAGAGUAACGGAGGAGCACGAAGGUUGGCUAAUCCUGGUCGGACAUCAGGAGGUUAGUGCAAUGGCAUAAGCCAGCUUGACUGCGAGCGUGACGGCGCGAGCAGGUGCGAAAGCAGGUCAUAGUGAUCCGGUGGUUCUGAAUGGAAGGGCCAUCGCUCAACGGAUAAAAGGUACUCCGGGGAUAACAGGCUGAUACCGCCCAAGAGUUCAUAUCGACGGCGGUGUUUGGCACCUCGAUGUCGGCUCAUCACAUCCUGGGGCUGAAGUAGGUCCCAAGGGUAUGGCUGUUCGCCAUUUAAAGUGGUACGCGAGCUGGGUUUAGAACGUCGUGAGACAGUUCGGUCCCUAUCUGCCGUGGGCGCUGGAGAACUGAGGGGGGCUGCUCCUAGUACGAGAGGACCGGAGUGGACGCAUCACUGGUGUUCGGGUUGUCAUGCCAAUGGCACUGCCCGGUAGCUAAAUGCGGAAGAGAUAAGUGCUGAAAGCAUCUAAGCACGAAACUUGCCCCGAGAUGAGUUCUCCCUGAGACUUAGAGUCUCCUGAAGGAACGUUGAAGACGACGACGUUGAUAGGCCGGGUGUGUAAGCGCAGCGAUGCGUUGAGCUAAC
rnacentral:rRNA from 2 species